rnacentral:rRNA from 1 species
UGGGGAAUAUUGGACAAUGGGCGCAAGCCUGAUCCAGCAAUGCCGCGUGUGUGAAGAAGGCCCUCGGGUUGUAAAGCACUUUUAUCAGGAGCGAAAUCUGCCCGGUUAAUACCUGGGUAGUCUGACGGUACCUGAGGAAUAAGCACCGGCUAACUCCGUGCCAGCAGCCGCGGUAAUACGGAGGGUGCAAGCGUUAAUCGGAAUUACUGGGCGUAAAGGGUGCGUAGGCGGUUGUUUAAGUCUGUUGUGAAAUCCCCGGGCUCAACCUGGGAAUGGCAAUGGAUACUGGGCAGCUAGAGUGUGUCAGAGGAUGGUGGAAUUCCCGGUGUAGCGGUGAAAUGCGUAGAGAUCGGGAGGAACAUCAGUGGCGAAGGCGGCCAUCUGGGACAACACUGACGCUGAAGCACGAAAGCGUGGGGAGCAAACAGGAUUAGAUACCCCCGUAGUCC